GAGCGCCUAACUUCAGGAUUAGAAGGAUAGAUAGAAGGAAAACCACUAAGGCUUCUAUGUAGCCUUAUUUAAAGUCAGCUUCCAAGUCCUAUGUUUUUCUUGCCUGUCUUCUGACCUAUUUGCACCACAAUUAGUCAAAUAUGGUUCAGUAUCACCACGCAUCCAGCACAGAGUUGCGCCGCGUCCUGGAGCUCUGGCACAAGCAGUUACGCACCAGAACUGUCAACAUGUCUCCACUUUGAACAGGGAAUUUAAGAGCAGUCUCUGAAGUCCUACAGAACUGACAAACUACUCAUUUAGAGAGGCUCCACGCUGGGUGACUCCCAUGAUCUCCUUUUCUUUACAAACAGCAUUUCUUUUAAAAAGGCAUUGCCACCACUGCUGGUUUCAACACCACAAUCCCAGAGCAGCGGCAACAGAGCCCACAAAGGAACGUGGUCCUGAACAAGUCAACAGGCAUGGGUGAAAGGUCUCUUUCUCACCCCAAGGCAAGACUGAGAAAGCAAGGACUGUCAGAGAAAGAAGUUGGAGGGGAAGCCCUUCCCCAGAAGCUUGGGACAGAACAGAACAGGUUUUCAGAAAUCCCCUGCUUUCUCAUCUCAGACGGUGCCAGAGCAAAUAGCCAGAGAAAGCAAACACCUGAGCCCACGGCCAGGCUCCCCCUCACACACCCCACCGGCCUCCGCAGGCUGGUGGAUGCGAUCAGACAUGUUCCUAGCUCCAAGGGAUCCCUGAGUGAUAGAUUUUACAUCUCAACCUUCCAAAAAAAAGGUGAAGGUGAUCAAUCAGAAGUGCUAUUUGUUAUCAGUCCUAAGAGCUGCUUACGGUGCUACUGGCGGGAGGUGUAUUUUAAAUUUCAUCACCCACUGGAUAUCUGUCUUCUGCCUCUGUUAAUUCCCAAGGCUGAUCAGAGCAAUCUAGCUAUACCUAUGGCCUAGAGAGAUUUUGGAGCAGUGCAAGUCAAAACACCCUUGCCUUGCAAAAACAUUAAAAAUAGAUACUUUGAUUGCAC
rnacentral:lncRNA from 7 species